rnacentral:misc_RNA from 1 species
CAGGUUGAAAGCGGAAUGCUCUGGUUCGCGUCCAAUUCACAACGUUUCUAUGACAAACCGAAGCUGCGUUAUACUUUUACACAGUUCUUUGCACUUCGCGCUCUCUUUUUAAAAAGUUUUAUCAUUGUUUUUCGUAUUCUCAACUUCUCCAAUUACCUUAGGUACCAACACACAAACAAUGUAAUCCACAUUUCGCUUGUGUUACAUGAGUCACAAACACUCGAGGAUUCGCGCCCUCACUUCAUGCGAGUACUGCAACGUUUGUGGACAGCCUUUGAAAAGCGUUCAGUGGAUGGUCUUCUUACGCCUCAAGACUACUGUGAACAUAUGUUUUACUCGUAUUUGCAUAAUGUGUAUGGAGACAAAAAGGGCUACGAAGACCGCAUCCCUAUCCACAUGAGGGGAGGCAGGUCCUUGGUGACAACACACCCUCAUUUAGUAUCCACAGUGUACCCAGCUCAAGGCACAGCAGCAUCCUGCACGCACAACUACAGAAAACCGCAUGCUGCAUCCUGUAGCUAUCAGGGGAUCAUCUGUACACAGUGUGGAAUGGGGGACCCAGGACCUGGUGGAGGCGCGUCGGGUGAGGUGGUUGGAGGACGCACGCGGAAGAGAAUCCUCGACCCUCUGGAGUUCCACGAGGACGACAACAAUGCCAGGCGGCCGGGCAUCUCGGACUGGCAGGAGACCCUCAAGAGCAUAGGUGUGCCCAACAAAAAGGGCUUCAUCACAAUGGAAGGAGGUCAUCAGAAGCAGUGGGAGUUGGAGGACAUCGACCAAGGACUGGCCGCGGAUUUUGAUGACUCGCUUUCCGGGCUUGGAGUCGAUAUAAGCACAGCUUCGUACAACAUGAGUGAAGCCCUGCUGGCACUGCCUGCUGUGCCCAUCUUCAAGCAAGAGGCUUUGUCUCCAGCUGCCCAGGAUAAGCACAGUAUAUCAUCUAACCCAACAACAUUUGAUGAAUCAUCCCAGAGCAAUACAACAGAUAGACUCUUUAGGCUCUUGAGCUCUGACAACCUGACAGAUUGUCCUUCACCAUCCAUCCAUCAGCUUCUGCAGCAGCACAUAACUCCUGGCAUUACGCAGGGAAAUUCCUCUCACGUAACAUCUCAUGGUGCAUCAUCAUCCGCAUGCCUUCCAACUUGCCAUCACUCACAGCAGUCAACCGUCCAGAAUAACACUGCAGAUUCACCCCAGGAGUCUGGUACUCUCUCCACUCAUGGAUUGUCAUAUGAAGAUAAUAGAUUUCAAUAUAUUUUGGGUGCUGCAACAUCAGUAGCUACUAAAGUGAAUGAAGAAAGUUUAUCGUACCUGAAUCAAGGCCAGUCUUAUGAAAUCAAAGUAAAGAAAUUAGGUGAUCUCACAAGAUGUAAGGGAAAGUUUUAUCAUACCAUAAUCCGCGUCUGUUUUCACGAGCGGCACUUACAGUACAUGGAGAAAGAACAGCUAGAGAGCUGGAGACACAUGCGACCUGGAGAGAGAAUACUGGAGGUUGAUAUUCCAUUGUCUUAUGGUAUAUGUGAUGUUGCACAAGAUCCCAAAUCAUUAAACAUGUGUGAAUUUGAUUGGGAUCCAACUAAAGAAGUAGGAGUUUAUAUAAAGGUCAAUUGCAUCAGCACAGAAUUUACUCCCAAGAAGCAUGGGGGAGAAAAGGGAGUUCCAUUCAGAAUUCAGGUGGAGACCUAUUCAAAAACUGACUGUGGACAAGAACAGCUUCAUGUCUGUGCCUGCCAGAUCAAAGUGUUCAAGUUAAAAGGAGCUGAUAGAAAGCAUAAACAAGACAGAGAGAAGAUAUCAAAGAGACCACAUUAUGAACAAGAGAAGUAUCAGCCCUCUUGUGAAUGUACUAUUCUAACAGAGCUAUCUCCUGAGGCCAUCUAUGUACCUGCUGCUGAUUCCUCAGCCUCCACAACUUCCACAAAUGCAGCUCUGAGAACACAGAGUCCAGCAUCUGUAUUAAAAAAUGAGGCAGGUGGCAUAGAACAAACAAAAAUAGAAAAUGGUGUUCCAACAGACCAAGAAGAAGACCAAGAAAAUCCGGUAAGGAAGAGAUUUCCAAUUACAAGUGACGUGUCUUUCAAGGGGAAAAUUAAAAACCGCAAAUUAUACGGUGUUCCUCUCCACUCAGGAACCACAGCUGUGCAAACCAUGGCGUGGUUAGCAGCAAAUCGUUUUAACAAGUAUCAUAACAUGUUUGCAAAUUUUACGGGCACAGACAUCCUCAGACUUUCUCGGUCAGACCUAAUAGAAAUGUGUGGUCUAGCAGAUGGAAUCAGACUCUUCAAUGCUUUGCAUGCCAAAUCAGUAGUUUCACAAAUACGCCAAUUCCGCGUAGGACUCUGGCAGGUUCCUGAGCUCUCUCGUUUACUCCGCAUUCUUCUUCUCUCACCAUUGCAUAAGAAACUGUUCGGCGAUGCCAAGAAAAUGUUUUGCCAAGGCUGACUGUUUAUGUCUGCCUUGAACACGAGCAGCUUUACCAUGCAGUGUACUUGGAAAACCUGACUUGUGCUGACUUUACAAAGAAGAUGUCAGCGCUAAUGCAGAUCACCCAAGAACGGAUUCAUGAUGUUUACUUGCAAGGACCUUCUGGGAUCCAUAUCCUUGUUACGGAUGAGGUGGUCCAGAACAUGGUUAAUGAAUCGAUGCUGUCCAUAAAGGUGCUACAAGAUACAACCGGGGAAAGGUAUAGACUAUUGCUAAGACUCAAUGAUAAUCAUAGCAACAAAUCGCAGUCUUAAGAAAAAUACUGUUUCCCUGUUGAUUCCAGCAGAUGGCAUUCCUUAUAAUCGUGAUAGAUUUUGUAGAAUUUAUAAAAGGAAUUCUGCAAUAAUGUAUAUAUUUUUAUGUACUUGCCAUAAAUGAAGUAGAAGACAUGUCAUGUUAAACUCAGUGCCUGGUGGAUAACGAUGCCUAGAAUUUUUUUUCGUACCCAGUUAUCAUUAAAGGAAUGCGUUAUUCCAAAUACAUUGGAGAGAUGUGUUUUAUUGUUCUAUCACAUAUAAUUAAUGUAUGUAAUAAGAAAAUCAGUUUUCUUGUCUCUCUGUCCAUAAAAUUAUAAACUAUUUGGUUGUGCAAUAUGUUGACAUGUAGAGUUUACAGUGUUUUGGUGAAGCUUAUUGGUUAUAGAAAAGAUUGAAUUUGAUUGAAUAUGAAUUGGAAAGGAAAAAUCCUGUAAUGAGACAGGAGGAGUGUUGUAUUAUCACACUAUUGUCAAAGUAGCAUAAUGCUCAAAAUAUACAGGUUAUAAGGUUUUUUUUUUAGGUACCUCCAACUGUAUUUGUUGUAGAAAAACAUUGAUACAGUUUCCUGGUCAGUAAUUAGGAGUCAAGCAUGAAGGAAAGCAGUUUCCACUAUUCCCAAAAUAUUUGUUCAUACUGGAAUGAUUUCUGUGGUUGGCUGUUUGAUAUUUUAAAAACUUUCUGUAUAUCAUUUGUGGCCUGUACAUCCCAAAAGCACAUCAAAUAGAUCAAUGGUAAGUGAGAUUGAAAGAGACACGAUAAAGAAGUACAAAUACAUCUCAGAGGGCAUGAUAAGUGUGUUGUGAUAUAUAUAUGAAUAGUCUGCAAUAUAUAUUCUUCCUUCUCUUUCUUGCCAGUUGAAGUCAGGACCAAAGUUUAUUCACUUGCAGUUGACAUCUUUUCACAGAAAAGAUUUUGUUUGUUCCUUUUAACUCUCGCUUUUUCCCUCUGUUUCUUUUGUGGCUGGGAUGCAUAUUCCUCUCCCAUGCUUUGUCGAGGGAAGGUAGCUGUGUCCACAGGAAGACUAACAACAUCUAUAUUGAGGGUAGCAGUGUGGAGAGGGAGGAUAUCUAUGUCAAGAGGGAGGGUAAUAAUAUCUAGAGGAUAGGUAACAGUGCCAAGAGGGAGGGUAAUAACAUUCAGCAUCCAGAGGGAAGGUAACAACAGCUGAAGGGGUUAGCAAUAUCCAAAGAUUGUUAACUCCUAAAAAGAGGAUGCAACAUCUAGAGCAGGGGUCGACAACCUUUUUGAGUGCAGUGUGCUAUAUAAAUUUCUUGUUUUUAACCAAUUCACAUUCCAACUAUGAUUGUUGUCUCCUACAUUUAAUCAGUAUAAGUUAUACUACAAAUAUGUAAACUAAACAGUUAUUUUGAAAUUGAACAUGACUAUUUCUUCCUUUGUGUUCUGUACACCUCCCUGAAAUAGUAAACCUAAUCGAAUAUACCUCUUUCCUUUCUUUAUUAUUACAAUUAUUAUUGUCAGUUAUAUUAUUAUUAUUAUUAUUAUAAUUAUUUAUUAAUUUUUUAUUAUUAUUAUUUUCUUUAACCCACUCACGCUGGGGCGAUUCCGGCUUUGCAUGGUCGUAAUGCUGGGGUUUUUCGAACGCAUAAGCCUAACGCCUCGAGACUCUUGGGUGCACAAGCCAUAAGCCUGGGCUGCCUGCUUGCUCACCCCGAGCAAGGACCUUGCCCAGAUAUCUCGUCACCUGCGUCUGACGCAAAAACCAUGAUAUGUGUCAGCAUGUCAUCCGGCGCGAAUGGGUUAAUAUGCAUAUAGUGUGCCAUAGUUAAUCCCCUCAAGUGCCGACCCCUGAUCUAGAGGGAGUGUGACAACGUCAAGACGGAGGAUAACUAGAGCGAGGAUAGCACAACAUGUAGAGGGAGGGUAAUAACAUCAAGAGGGAGGAUAGCAACAUCUAGAGUGAGGAUAGUACAACAUCUAGAGGGAGGAUAACACAACAUGUAGAGGGAGGGUAAUAACAUCAAGAGGGAGGAUAACAACAUCUAGAGGGAGGAUAGCACAUGUAGAGGGAGGGUAAUAACAUCAAGAGGGAGGAUAACAACAUCUAGAGGGAGGAUAGCACAUGUAGAGGGAGGGUAAUAACAUCAAGAGGGAGGAUAACAACAUCUAGAGGGAGGAUAGCACAACAUGUAGAGGGAGGAUAACAACAUCUAGAGGGAGCAUAGCAAGAUCAAAAGGGAAGGCAAAAACAAAUAGCAGGACAGUAGCAGACUUGGGAUAACUGCAGAAAGAGACAACAUGCAUCUACUGGACUCUCAAGUGGAAAUAAGAAAGUAUUGAUAAACAUACUUGCUGCAUUAUUUUAUCAAC